AUGUGUCAAGACAACUCCUUGCAAACACUCAUACUGCAUGAUAACAAUCUGACUGGAAGUAUCGAGGGAACUUUUAAAGGAUGCACAAACCUCACCGAGCUGAACUUGCUAGGUAACCAUCUUCAUGGAGAGAUACCAGGGUACCUGGCUGACCUGCCUUUAGUUAGUCUGGAAUUGUCCCUAAGCAAUUUCACAGGAAUGCUGCCUGACAGGUUGUGGGAGUCAUCAACUCUUUUGCAGAUCUCUCUCAGCAACAAUCAGAUUACCGGCCAGAUCCCAGAUAGCAUUGGUAGGCUGUCCAGCUUGCAGAGGUUGCAGAUUGACAAUAACUAUUUGGAAGGACCCAUACCACAGUCUGUCGGCUAUCUACGAAAUCUGACUAUUCUGUCUCUGCAUGGCAAUGGGUUAUCUGGGAACAUUCCAAUAGAACUCUUCAACUGCCGAAACCUUGCUACACUGUACCUGAGCUCUAAUAAUCUGACAGGGCACAUCCCGAGGGCCAUAUCUAACUUGACAUUGCUCAAUAGCUUGAUUUUGUCUUAUAACCAGCUCUCUGGUGCUAUUCCUGCUGAGAUCUGUGUGGGGUUUGAAAAUGAGGUUCACCCUGACUCGGAGUUUGUGCAGCAUAACGGCCUUCUUGAUCUGUCAUACAACCGGUUGACUGGUCAGAUUCCGGCAGCAAUAAAGAAGUGUUCUAUGCUGAUGGUGCUAAACCUGCAAGGCAACUUGCUAAAUGGCACCAUUCCCUCAGAGCUUGGUGAGCUGACAAAUCUUACAAGCAUUAAUCUGUCUUCUAAUGGAUUAGUUGGACCAAUGCUUCCUUGGUCUGCACCAUUGGUACAACUUCAAGGCCUUAUUCUAUCAAACAACCACCUAAAUGGCACCAUUCCUGUUGAGAUAGGCCAAGUUCUUCCCAAAAUUUCAAUGCUAGACUUGUCCGGUAAUGUACUUACCGGAAGUCUACCCCGGUCUUUGCUGUGCAACAAAUAUCUGAACCGCCUGGAUGUCAAUAACAACAAUCUCUCCGGGAAAAUUUUAUUCUUUUGUCCCAUGGAUGGAGAAUCCUCAAGCUCACUGCUGUUCUUCAAUUCAAGCAGUAACCAUUUCUCAGGGACCCUAGAUGAGUCUAUCUCGAACUUCACACAACUGUCUUCUCUUGAUAUCCACAACAAUAGCCUCACUGGAAGCUUACCAUCAGCACUCUCUGAUCUCAGCUUUUUGAACUAUCUUGACCUCUCAAGCAAUGAUUUCUAUGGUGUCAUCCCUUGUGGUAUUUGCAAUAUAUUUGGCCUCACAUUUGCCAACUUCUCUGGUAACCACAUCGACAUGUACAGCUCAUCAGAUUGUGCAGCAGGAGGUGUUUGUUCCACUAAUGGCACUGGUCGUAGGGUGGCUCAUCCAUCUCAUCGAGUUCGAAGAUUAGGGAUCAUUUGUAUCCUUUCACUUGCUGUCAUCAUUGUGUUAGUACUUCUGGUGUUUUAUCUGAGACACAAACUAUCGAGGAACAGUUCAUUGGUUAUUGUGCCCGCUGGUAAGGCCAAGGCUACCGUUGGCCAACCUCAAGUGAUGAGCUCCUAG
rnacentral:rRNA from 1 species